rnacentral:rRNA from 1 species
CUACGGGGGGCAGCAGUGGGGAAUAUUGGGCAAUGGGCGCAAGCCUGACCCAGCAACGCCGCGUGAGGGAAGAAGGUUUUCGGAUUGUAAACCUCUGUCCUUGGGGACGAGGAAGUGACGGUACCCAAGGAGGAAGCUCCGGCUAACUACGUGCCAGCAGCCGCGGGAAUACGUAGGGAGCAAGCGUUGUCCGGAAUUACUGGGCGUAAAGGGUGCGUAGGCGGCAUAUUAAGUCAGGUGUGAAAUACUCGGGCUCAACCCGGGGGCUGCAUUUGAAACUGAUAUGCUUGAGUGUGAGAGAGGAAAGUGGAAUUCCUAGUGUAGCGGUGGAAUGCGUAGAUACUAGGAGGAACACCAGUGGCGAAGGCGACUUUCUGGCUCAUAACUGACGCUGAGGCACGAAAGCGUGGGGAGCAAACAGGAUUAGAUACCCUGGUAGUC